UACGAAGGGGGCUAGCGUUGCUCGGAAUCACUGGGCGUAAAGCGCGUGUAGGCGGCCAUCUAAGUCGGGCGUGAAAUCCCACGGCUCAACCGUGGAAGUGCACUCGAAACUGGAUGGCUAGAGUCCUGGAGAGGAAGGUGGAAUGCUUGGUGUAGAGGUGAAAUUCGUAGAUAUCAAGCGGAACACCGGUGGCGAAGGCGGCCUUCUGGACAGUGACUGACGCUGAGACGCGAAAGCGUGGGGAGCAAACAGG
rnacentral:rRNA from 1 species